UGACUGGAUUAUUGAGGUGAUUUUCUAAUUUUGUGGCAAUUUGUUACUGAUUUGCUUAAGUUGCUAUAUAAUGAAGGGAAAAGUGUAGCUCUAACUCAGUAACUCAGAUGAGAGCUCAUAUGAGAAGAUGAGGGCUGCCCUUCCUAAAGUGGUUAUUCGGGCAGAGAGCUCAGUAGCUCAGAACUACGGAUAGGAGCAACACCGUGGUUUCAUCCAGUAAGCAUUUUCAACCCAAACCUAGAUUUUUUGAUUCAUUUAUGUUUUCAUUGAGCAUAUAAAAAUGGCUGAAUUUGUAUUUUUUUUAUAUUUUUAGUCAUUCCUUUGUUUUAUCGACUGUGAAAUAAAUUUACAGUAGGCAAGUGGAUGUAGAUAAAUUUGGCAUAUGCCUCAUCUAUAAGUAUCUUUAUAUAGAGAAUACCCAAUAUGAUGGUGCUUGAUUAAAGUUUACAUACUCGAGAAACACCUACCCUAAAUAAAGAAAUCCAUUUGCCAAAUACAACACACAGUGAAAUCUAUUUAUAUCUUUGUCAUACUAAACACGCAGUGAAAUCCAUUUAUAGUUGAUGAUGAUGAAACUAUUAUAGAGAUACUGCAUAUUAUUUUUGAACAAGUGUUCCACUUUCUCUUUGUUGGUGAUGAAGAUCAAAUUCAUGUGUCAUCUUCUUUGUCUUUGUGUAGUGCAAAAUUUGAAUUUAUUGAAAGAUAUAGGAUCUCAAUUAUUUGUCUGCAAUAUGUGAAAGGAAGAGUUAGCUUUACGGAAACAAGUGUUUUUUUUAUUACUUAAAGGCAGCUUCUUGAAAUAGAAUUUGGGCUGCAGGGAGAUAUACUAACUCAAUGUGUCCAUAAUAUAUGAUUAUGUGCCAAUACUAUCUACAAUGAAUUUAAAAUUUAUAGAUUUCUUCUUUGUGACUUCAGUUUCUUAUGAUGCUUCUUGCUUGGCUCAAAACAUUAUGCAUAAGAAAACAUACAUUUGUAAGGGUUUUUUUAUAUGUUACAUAAUGGUGAAAGCAACAUUUUCAUCGUCAGAUUAGAUAUUUGAACCACAUUGUGUCAUUUCCCCAUGCAGCUUCUAAGCUUGAGGACUUGCAGCCUUGCACUCUUUAAAUAUUGACAUGUUUCUGUUUCACCAACAAUUUAUUCACACUUCAAUUAUAUUAGUCACAAGGAUAUCAAAUGCUAUUUCCUUAAGAUAGUCCUGAAUAUUCAUUUUAGUUGCUGAAUAUGGCCUUAUGUAUUUUCCAUGGAUUACAGGUGGAUGGGAUGAAUUGCCUGAUUUCUGAACUUGCUAAUGUAGCAGCACAGGAAAGAGCCAUGCUUGAUGAAUGUGAAGCUCUAUUAACAACUACAGCGGCUAUGCAGGUGAGAACAAUAACAAAGAUGCUUGGUUUCACUUCAAGUCAUGUUGAAAAUCACAUUUCAUUUGUUUUAAUAAUUUUGUCCUCAUAUUGCUUUCUGAGUUGACCUUGCUCAUAAACUGAGAACAUCAAAAAUGAUCAUAACUUAUGUUCUUUAUCAUCUCUCUUUCUGUGCAGUGUUACAAGCUCUAGUGUUACAAGUGCAGAUAUGGAAU
rnacentral:lncRNA from 1 species